rnacentral:rRNA from 1 species
GUUGGGUAACACUAACUGGAGGACCGAACCGACUAAUGUUGAAAAAUUAGCGGAUGACCUGUGGCUGGGGGUGAAAGGCCAAUCAAACCGGGAGAUAGCUGGUUCUCCCCGAAAGCUAUUUAGGUAGCGCCUCGUGAAUUCAUCUCCGGGGGUAGAGCACUGUUUCGGCUAGGGGGCCAUCCCGGCUUACCAACCCGAUGCAAACUGCGAAUACCGGAGAAUGUUAUCACGGGAGACACACGGCGGGUGCUAACGUCCGUCGUGAAGAGGGAAACAACCCAGACCGCCAGCUAAGGUCCCAAAGUCAUGGUUAAGUGGGAAACGAUGUGGGAAGGCCCAGACAGCCAGGAUGUUGGCUUAGAAGCAGCCAUCAUUUAAAGAAAGCGUAAUAGCUCACUGGUCGAGUCGGCCUGCGCGGAAGAUGUAACGGGGCUAAACCAUGCACCGAAGCUGCGGCAGCGACACUGUGUGUUGUUGGGUAGGGGAGCGUUCUGUAAGCCUGUGAAGGUGUGUCGUGAGGCAUGCUGGAGGUAUCAGAAGUGCGAAUGCUGACAUAAGUAACGAUAAAGCGGGUGAAAAGCCCGCUCGCCGGAAGACCAAGGGUUCCUGUCCAACGUUAAUCGGGGCAGGGUGAGUCGACCCCUAAGGCGAGGCCGAAAGGCGUAGUCGAUGGGAAACGGGUUAAUAUUCCCGUACUUGGUGUUACUGCGAAGGGGGGACGGAGAAGGCUAUGUUGGCCGGGCGACGGUUGUCCCGGUUUAAGCGUGUAGGCUGGUUUUCCAGGCAAAUCCGGAAAAUCAAGGCUGAGGCGUGAUGACGAGGCACUACGGUGCUGAAGCAACAAAUGCCCUGCUUCCAGGAAAAGCCUCUAAGCAUCAGGUAACAUCAAAUCGUACCCCAAACCGACACAGGUGGUCAGGUAGAGAAUACCAAGGCGCUUGAGAGAACUCGGGUGAAGGAACUAGGCAAAAUGGUGCCGUAACUUCGGGAGAAGGCACGCUGACACGUAGGUGAAGUGAUUUACUCAUGGAGCUGAAGUCAGUCGAAGAUACCAGCUGGCUGCAACUGUUUAUUAAAAACACAGCACUGUGCAAACACGAAAGUGGACGUAUACGGUGUGACGCCUGCCCGGUGCCGGAAGGUUAAUUGAUGGGGUCAGCGCAAGCGAAGCUCCUGAUCGAAGCCCCGGUAAACGGCGGCCGUAACUAUAACGGUCCUAAGGUAGCGAAAUUCCUUGUCGGGUAAGUUCCGACCUGCACGAAUGGCGUAAUGAUGGCCAGGCUGUCUCCACCCGAGACUCAGUGAAAUUGAACUCGCUGUGAAGAUGCAGUGUACCCGCGGCAAGACGGAAAGACCCCGUGAACCUUUACUAUAGCUUGACACUGAACAUUGAGCCUUGAUGUGUAGGAUAGGUGGGAGGCUUUGAAGUGUGGACGCCAGUCUGCAUGGAGCCGACCUUGAAAUACCACCCUUUAAUGUUUGAUGUUCUAACGUGGACCCGUUACCCGGGUUGCGGACAGUGUCUGGUGGGUAGUUUGACUGGGGCGGUCUCCUCCUAAAGAGUAACGGAGGAGCACGAAGGUUGGCUAAUCCUGGUCGGACAUCAGGAGGUUAGUGCAAUGGCAUAAGCCAGCUUGACUGCGAGCGUGACGGCGCGAGCAGGUGCGAAAGCAGGUCAUAGUGAUCCGGUGGUUCUGAAUGGAAGGGCCAUCGCUCAACGGAUAAAAGGUACUCCGGGGAUAACAGGCUGAUACCGCCCAAGAGUUCAUAUCGACGGCGGUGUUUGGCACCUCGAUGUCGGCUCAUCACAUCCUGGGGCUGAAGUAGGUCCCAAGGGUAUGGCUGUUCGCCAUUUAAAGUGGUACGCGAGCUGGGUUUAGAACGUCGUGAGACAGUUCGGUCCCUAUCUGCCGUGGGCGCUGGAGAACUGAGGGGGGCUGCUCCUAGUACGAGAGGACCGGAGUGGACGCAUCACUGGUGUUCGGGUUGUCAUGCCAAUGGCACUGCCCGGUAGCUAAAUGCGGAAGAGAUAAGUGCUGAAAGCAUCUAAGCACGAAACUUGCCCCGA